AUGAAGGGGCGGUUGGGAGCUCUGAAAGGUUCUACGGCUGCUUGUGCAGAGAGCCCCUCUACACCCAAGAAUCCCAUUGUGGAAUUGAUAGAUAGUGAUGAUGAUGCGUUUGACAAGAUUGCUGGCGUGGGAGGAGUUACCAGGAGUGCUGCUGUCAAGGGUGCAUCUCCCCUUGUUGGAAUAGUGGCCCGUAGAGCUGGUGCUGCUAGGAAGGAUCCUGCUUUGGAUUCUGGCAAUGUUGUAACCACAAAGCGUGGGCCCAGAGCUCCUAUAAAGUUUUGCUCCCCUGUGCAGCAGCUUCAGCCUCAUAAUUUCCCUCAUCUGGACAAGGCUCGCAAGUAG
rnacentral:rRNA from 1 species